rnacentral:rRNA from 1 species
CGCAAGCCUGAUGCAGCAACGCCGUGUGAGUGAAGAAGGUUUCGGAUCGUAAAACUCUGUCCUAAGGGAAGAAACAAAUGACGGUACCUUAGGAGGAAGCCCCGGCUAACUACGUGCCAGCAGCCGCGGUAAUACGUAGGGGGCAAGCGUUAUCCGGAAUCACUGGGCGUAAAGGGUGCGUAGGCGGCUUAGCAAGCCAGGGGUGAAAGGCAUUGGCUCAACCAAUGUAAGCCUUUGGAACUGUUAAGCUUGAGUGCAGGAGAGGUAAGUGGAAUUCCUAGUGUAGAGGUGAAAUUCGUAGAUAUUAGGAGGAACACCAGUGGCGAAGGCGACUUACUGGACUGUAACUGACGCUGAUGCACGAAAGCGUGGGUAGCGAACAGGAUUAGAUACCCUGGUAG